rnacentral:lncRNA from 1 species
AUACAACUAUAGUGACUGUGAUGAUGAAAAUUUAUUUGGAAAAAAGAGACUGGAAAAGAAAGGCAGAAUGGAGGAUCUUUCAGAAAUUGAUGCAGCACCGCAAGUACCAUCACCACCAAUGACUAUGUUACUUUACGUUCCAGUACCCCUAGGAACAUUUACAGUCCUUGUUCCAGUGCAGUUGGAGAUCAAGACAGAACUUAUUGCAACUCGUCAUGUCUUUCAUUACUGACUGAACUUAUAAAAUCACAAGAGGUCAUAAAGCAGCAACUGGACCUGAUUCUCAAAAAUCAGCAAAAACAAAGCAGUACUCUGCAGCGGGAUGAAACUCCAGAUGCAAGCACAUUUGACCUUCCUUUGUCCAAUUUAUUUGAUUUAGAAAAGCUUGAACAUCAACUAAAGGAGCAGCCCGAACAAAGGAAGAAAGUGUUUAUUUUACUUAUUGGUAGGUUUUCCACUAAAGAAGCAGUGUGGUGUGUCCUAGGAAAGCUUUUGGUCAACUCCUUGGCUAAACAAAUGAACUGGAGUGGGGCAAACCAAAAAGUGGCUUUUCGUGCACUCACCCUAAGGACUGUCGUAGUCAAUGCAGUGAGGACAAAUGUCCAUACCAAUAGCGCCACUGAUGAAGAGGUGGAGAAAUACAUCACAAGGUGGCUACAACUUGCUCCUGAUAGGGUUGAUGGAAGGAAGGAAAGAGAGCAGCUAAUGUGUCAAAUGUCUAAAUUACUUUAUUUUUUUAAAUUAUUUUAUUUUAUAACAACAUUUUAAGUGUAUUAAGAUGUUCCCUGAUACUUGGGCAAUUUCUGUUUUAAGAUGUCUUGUGCAAUUUCAUAGAUUUUUACAUGGGUAUUUUAAGUUGUUUCCUUUUUUUAAUUUUGUGCAGUUUCUAAGCUUUUUUUUUUUACAGUCUAUUUGGAAACUUUUGUGCAUGUGCAAUUUCAGAAUUUUAAAAAAAUCUUCCUGUUUACUUAAAUUUGUUUAUAAUGUGUCAUUAUUCUGCAGCUUCAUUGUUAUUGCUUUAUUGAAAUUUUUAAUUCUUGAGCAGUACAACAUGUAUUCAAUUUUAUUAUUAUUUGUUUAAUACUUGUUUAAUCAAUAAA